rnacentral:rRNA from 1 species
CCUACGGGGUGCAGCAGUGGGGGAUAUUGCACACUGGGGGAAACCCUGAUGCAUCGACGCCGCGUGGGCGAAGAAGUAUUUCGGUAUGUAAAGCCCUAUCAGCAGGGAAGAAGAAAUGACGGUACCUGAGUAAGCAGCACCGGCUAAAUACGUGCCAGCAGCCGCGGUAAUCCGUAUGGUGCAAGCGUUAUCCGGAUGUACUGGGUGUAAAGGGAGCGCAGGCGGCACGGCAAGCCUGAUGUGAAAGCCCGGGGACCAACCGCGGGACUGCAUUGGGAACUAGCGGGCUGGAGUGCCGGAGAGGUAGGCGGAAUUCCUAGUGUAGCGGUGAAAUGCGUAGAUAUUAGGAGGAACACCAGUGGCGAAGGCGGCCUACUGGACGGUGACUGACGCUGAGGCUCGAAAGCGUGGGGAGCAAACAGGAUUAGAUACCCCAGUAGUC